AACCACUUAAGAUAGCGCAAUCUAAUUCUAGAUCAUCCUCUACUGCUUUAAAGAUCUUGGCUGCUGAGCCCAAGAUGCCCAGGAUUUUAUCCCGACAGUUUUGCAAUGAAAAUCUAAGCCUUUAGAUGGCUUCCAUCCUGUCUUACUGAGGAAUUGAAUGAUCUUAGGAUCGACUGAUAGCGUUUUACAUGAGUCAUCAGGGACUG